CUUCAUAUGCCUCGGGUGCUGCCCUAAAAAGACAAAAAAAAAAAAAAAAAAAAGAAAGAAAAAGAAAUUGAUGGUUUUGAAUCAAGGAAGAAGCGUUUUCCAUUUCAGUCAUUCUGAUUGGUAAAGCUUUCCAAAGGGAGGAGGAAGAAAUCAGCUGGAGCAAGCCCAAUUCUAAAUAGCACAAACCCGCUGCUUACUAUGCUCUAUUCCUUGCUAUGAGUGGAAAACCAAAUGACAAGACAAAAGAUGAAAGUCAGUUUUUGAUGUUCAAGUCAGCUUUGGUGUCCUUGUAAUCUUGUCAUAGAUCACUUAUGUUAACAUAAUUACUUUAAUAGUGGUGUGUAUUAUAAGUAGACUAAUCAUCUUGAGUGCAAACUGUAGAAAUUAAACAAAUUAAGUGUUUAACUCAAAGGUUUUUUUUUUUUCUUCUUCUCCUUAUUCUCUUCUUCUUCCUCUCCUUCUGUGCCUCUUCCUGAACACAGGCAGCCAGAGAGCCAGAGAUUCAGGCCCCCAGAUUUCUCUCUGCAGAGUGUACUUUACCUUUUGGAUGGGACUUUAAAGACUUUAAACAGCUUGAGACUUAUAGUUUGCCACAGGAGCAUAUAGCAAAUUCCUGUUUCUACUUUUUGAACCAGGAGCUGGAGUAUAAGAGCCCUGAGCAGGAAGUCGCAGGUGGUGGGAAAGGGGAAACAAGGUCAUUUUCAACCAUGUACAUUGAGGUUGUACCUUUAAAGUCAAUUCUAAAUUUAAUUGAAAGCCGAGGGCAGAAAAGCCAAGAUCGGAGCAAUGUGGUGAUUUAUUCUGAAGCCUGUAAGAAGUCAUGCGGCUGAAUGUGGGAUGAGCUGGAGCUUUAAUAAAAAUGGCACUGGGGAAGCCAGCGGGAAGAGGCACAAGAAUGGAACUGGGUUAGAUGAAGGAUCUCCAGGCCUAAAAGGGAGCGGGGGUCUGAGAGAGCAGUGUUUGCCCAAACUCUGCUGUUUUUACCAGGAUGGAUACACGUAAGUAAUUCGCAUCAAAAGGAAAAACCAGGAUCAGACAGAAGCCACCAAGACUUUUUACUUUUUAGACAGUGAAUUUUGCAUGAAAUCAUUAAGGUGUCCAAAUUGCAGAAAGGCUAUGGAAUGAAUGGCAAUGAGAGCUCAUCUAAUAUUAUUUCUAGCUGAAAUUUAGCUGAAGAAAAAUGACAUGUUCCUUUAUUAAAACACUAUGGGACUUGACAGCAAAGCUCCCACACAUUUCUAUGGGUGUUAUUGUCUAGUAAAUUAUAUUGGACCAUUGCUACAGAAAAUCCAUAACAUGUUCUCAAAAUCAAAUCUUCUCUGUUGACAAAUGGUUUAGGAACAAUCUUUCCAAGCUAAAAAAAAAAAAAAAAAAAAAAAAAAACCCAAACAGAAACAAGUUUGUUAGCAAAUGCUGCAUUAGAAAGAGAACUGGACUAGAAAUCGUACUUCCUGGGUUCUAAGCUUUCUGAUCUGAGGGAGGGGCUGGUUGUCCCUCCAGUGGUAGGAACUAUAUUUUCUGUAUUCUUUUAUACUUGCUUCUAAUUUUUAUACCCUCUUUUCUUUAGAUCACAUAUUUUUCUGCAUCACUAUUACCUUCCAUUUUAAUCUUAUUUAAAGCACAAUGUAUGUUCAUUGCAGAAAGUUCAGAUAAUGCAAAAAAGAUUCAAGAUGAAAAUAAACAUCACUUGUAAUCUCACCGUCCAGAGAUAACCACUGUUAACAUUUUGGUCAAUAUCAUUCUGAUUAAGGUAACAUUCAAAGGACCAGGAAGGUUUUUACCUUAGAGAACCAGGCAUUGCUUUCUGUUGAGGGAUGAUUGUCAUAAUCAGAAUCUGGAUCUGGUAGUGGUAGCUGUUUUAAAAAUCCUUAGGAGUUCCCAUUGUGGCUCAGUGGGUUAAGAAGCCAACUAGUAUCCAUGAGGAUAUGGGUUUGAUCCCUGGCCUCAAUCAGUGAGUUAAAGGAUCUGGUGUUGCUAUGAGCUGCCAUGUAGGUCACAGACAAGGCUUGAUCUGGCGGUUGCCAUGGCUGUGGCUGUGACUAGGCUGGCAGCUGCAGCUCCGAUUUGACCCCUAGCCCCGGGAACUUAUGUGUGCCGCAGGUGCGGCCCUAAAAAGCAGAAAAUAAUAAUAAUAAUAAAUAAAAAUCUUUAGAUGAAUGGUCACUAACUUUAAGUAAGCCCUUUCCUCAUUGCUAUCUCUUUCUUCUAGCUGCCUGCUUCAUUAUAUGAAGAUCUGUGUCAUCUCAGAGGAAACUACGUGCUCCCUUGCCCUCCGGCUUCCAGUAGGCUUUGGUCAAGGGGGACACAGGGAAGGAAUCUAAAGGAAGAAGACUAAGACUGGAGUAUUUAUUCCCUUGAUAGAAGAUCACAGUGUCUGUUGGGUGGCCUUCUCACACAGCUGUCUCUUCCUGGGGCGGGUGAGCACUCCCACAGAGACAAGGUGAAAGCACCUCACUGAUACUGGCACCCAGCCUUGAGACUAUAGCAGAGGAGGAGAAGAUGCAACCUGAUGAAUUGUACAAGAGCAGAAUUCCUGGUGAUUGGCGAGACCAGUUCUUCAACUGUUUCUUCAUAGUUUCUGAAACACACAAGAUAAUUGUUGUUCUGUCUUAAUUCUGAUCAUUUUCACAUUGAAUCUUCCAUUACGUGGCUUGGUCUUGUGGUGAGCAGACUGCAAGGCAACCUGUUCAGAUACCUGCCUCUGCUGCUGAGUAUCACCUAGAGAGAAACCUUUGCCUCCAUGAGAAAAAAGCUCAAUGUGUAUCUCUUCCAUUUUUUGUCUACAGUGUCUACAGUUUUUUUUUUUGAGCAAUUUCCUGUCUUCUAUAAUAGAUUUUGGAGAUCCUGUCGUGGCUUAGCGGUUAAUGAACCCGACUGGUAUCCGUGAGGACGUGGGUUCAAUCCCUGGCCUUGCUCAGUAGGUUAAGGAUCUGGCGUUGCCUCAAACUGUGGCAUAGCCCCCAGCUGUAGCUCCAAUUCGACCCCUAGCCUGGGAACCUCCAUAUGCUGCGGGUACAACCCUAAAAAGACAAAAUAAUAGUAAUAAUAAUAUAAUAGACAGAUUUUCAGUCCUCAAUAAGGAAAGACCAAAAGGAAGAUAAAUGAGCAAUUACUGAGGUCCUACUAUGUGACAAGUGCCAUCACAUAAAUCAUUUAUUGGUUCAAUAAAUAGUAUAUGCACAAUCUGAUUAAAUAAAUGGUGGAUACAUGGAUGAUGAGGAUAAGGUCCAUGCAUAAAAGGAGCUCGUAGUCUACUGAGAGACAGACAAUUUCUAAGGAGAAAGAAUAGAAUUAGUAAUACUGAAUAAGGCUUAGCACUUCUUGGAGGUAUUUUUAUUCCCCGAGUUUACAAAUUUAGAAACUGAGGCCACCAGAGGUUAAGUGAUGAAUUCAUGAUCACAGAGUUAGAACUAGAAUUUAAAUUCAGAUCUGAAUCAAUUAGGAAAAAAAACUCUACCAGAAAAAUACAUUUUAAAAUUUAUUUCAGGGAGUUCCUCUCAUGGCUCAAUGGUGAUGAACCCAAUGAGUAUCCAUGAGGCUAGGGUUUGAUCCCUAGCUCUGCUCAGUGGGUUAAAGAUCCAGCACUGCUGUGAGCUGAGGUGUAGGUUGCAGAUGCAGUUCGGAUCUGGCAUUGCUGUGGCUGUGGCGUAGGCCAUGGGUUACAGCUCUGAUUUGACCCCUAGCCUGGGAAGUUCCAUAUGCCCCAGGUGCAGCCCUAAAAAGACCAAAAAAAAAAAAAAAAAAAAAAAAAAAAACCCAAAAGUCAUUUCAGGAAUUCUUGUUGUGGCUUGGAAGGUUACGAGCCCAACGAGCAUCCAUGAGGAUGAGGGUUUGAUCCCUGGCCUUACUCAGUGGCUUAAGGAUUCAGCGUUGCUGUGAACCACGGUAUAGGUCACAGAUAUAGUUUGGAUCUGGUGUUGGUGUUGUUGUGGCUGUAGCUUUGGCCUGCAGCUGCAGCUCUAGUUCGACCCCUAGCCCAGGAACUUUCAUAUGCCAUGGGUGCAGCCCUAAAAAAAAAAAAGUAUUAGGCUUAGAAAUAUAGUGUAAUUAACAUAUAUGGUUAUAAAUGUUUUGUUAUUGUGCCCUAAAAAAUUAUCAGCUUUGACCUGAUCAAUCUUUAAAAGACACAGGAGCUGGACUCUUGUAAAAUGAGCACCAGAACGAAGUCAGGCAGAAAGUCACUGAAAUUCACUCCUGGCUUCUGGACAUUCUAGUUGUAUGAACAUGGACUUGACAUAUAAUGCCUUUUUCUAAAUUUGUGCUCCCAUAUCUUUAAGGCACAGGUAAUUAAUACUUCAAGGUGAGGAUUAUACAAGAUACAUAGUAGUAUACACAGUAAAUGUACUAUAUGUACUACUGCAUGUAGUAGACAUAUAGUAAAUAUUGGAUAAUUUCGAAUCAAACUGAAAUACUUUAAUACUUUAUUGUUUCAUUGUUUUGUCUUUCCCCCAGGGCUUUAUUUUACUUUAUUUAUUUAUUUUUUACUUGUUUAAAAAGUUAAGGAGAUGGGCAGAGGGAUGAAACAGAAGUGUUCAGAAAGAAAUCUGGCGCAUUCAUGCUGUCAAGGGGAUUGUGGGUAUGCAAUUUCUAAAACUUAAGUUUUAGCUUUAGGACUGCAAAAUGAACUCUGCUUGAGGGUGGAGCUCAGUGGUGCUUCAUAUACUGACUCCCUAAGGAUUUAUAGACUUAACAAAUUCAAACCACUGUUACCUCUAAUGUCAUUUCUCUUUCUUUCUUUUCUUUCUCUCUCUCUUUUUUUUUUUUUGUCUUUUUACCCUUUUUAGGGCCACACCUGAGGCACAUGGAAGUUCACAGGUUAGGUGUCUAAUUGGAACUCUAGCCACCGGCCUACGCCACAGCCACAGCAACUCGGGAUCUGAAACGGCAUCUGUGACCUACACCACAGCCCACAGCAAUGCCAGAUCUUUAACCCACUGAGCAAGGACAGUGAUUGAACCCGCAACCUCAUGGUUCCUAGUUGGAUUUGUUAACCACUGAGCCAUGACGGGAACUCCUCUAAUGUCAUUUCUAACUGGUAUAUCCUACGUGAUAAUAUGAGGCCUUUAUGCCUGGAACCUCUGGAUGAGCUACAAAUUGAUGUAAAUUAGUUGACCCAAUUUUGGAUGAACCAAGGUGACCUAGCAAAAUGCAAACUCAUCCUAACAGUAGGGCUGUUUGUUCAUUUCCCUUUGGGAGGCCUGAAUGCAAUGGGAUAUACAACACUGUCCAAAGACAUCUCUAGAUAUGCUGCUCCCCAAGUUGAUGCUUCCCUGAAUGAUAAAGCAGCACCAGAAAGUACUGAAUGGCCAACCCUAGCAAGCCAUUCUACAAAUUACUGUCUCCAGAAAGUGCUGGCUUCUCAAGGAUGCCAAACAUAGCAAGGACACUUUGGGGGGGGGGCUGCCUGCAGAUAUUUAGGUAACUUGAGAACACCAGAGUCUUCCCAAAAGCAUUAGGGGAAGCCACCAACCUCCCAUGUCUAUAGUCAUUUGGGCUCACACAAGCAUGGCCUUGAGGGGCACUCAAACCUCAGUCCUGGUACUGGGAUGACUUCUGUGCUGGAAAAUUGCAUCCAUAGCAAUCCCGUGUGGGACUUGACCUCUCCAUCCCAGUUGACUAUGGAAGGAAGCCAAAGAAGGGAGAGGGGGUGUUGGUGCAUAUAUUUGCAUUUGCCAUUUUUAUUUGCCUCUGGGACAUUAGACUGCAGGUCUCCUUAAGCAUGAACUGUUUGUUAAAGUCUGGUGUUGGCUUUUGUGGACCGGUCUAGCCAAGAGUUGUUUUAGCCCAAAUGGGGAGAUGGGGGUGGGGAUGGGGUGGGGUAAGACAUCUGCAGAGCCCAACAACCGUUACCAAGGCCUACCUUAGCUCUGCCUCUACCUGCCAAAUGGUAAACAAAGCCCCUGGGAGAACUCGGGCGAGCUGAACACCUUGGUCAAACACUAAGCAAACCACCACCAGGUGUGCUUGCAGAACAGACUCUCCAUCAGCGUCCUGUCAUGCAGAAAAUGUUUAUCCAAUUUGUCAAGAUAAUCUUUCCUCAAAUAAGCCGUGGGCAUACUCCUUGGAACAGCCUGAAUUUAGUAGGUAUAAUGUAACUCUAUUUUUUUCACCCAUUUUUCCUUUAAUCGCUGUGUCAACUUUUCCCCGGCUUUAAGCAAACUGAAAGUAAUUAUAUCAUUCUUAAGUGAGUAAUCUUUUGACUGGGUUAGCUGAUUCGUGAGUUACUCUGAAAUUCUUCUAAACUGUGCAGUCCUUUUCCAAACACAUUUUCUUAGAUGUUUCACAAAGUUCGGCUCAUCGAUGACCCAUGGAUGUGUUUAUUCUGUCACGUUUUGUGGCUCCGCCAUGACUAUAUUAGGACAUCUGAAAAGAAGUUGAGUGUAGAAAUUUGAGAGAAGGGAAAAAAGGUAACUUCACCUACUAAUUUAGGUAUUCCUGGGAAAUAUGACUGUCAUUGUAAAUAACUUGCAGCUUCAAGCAUGAAGAAUGUUUGAUUAGUGCUUUGAAUCACAGUGUAGUAUUAAAGGCUGGGCUUCACGGACUUAAAAGCAUUCACUUCUUUCAUUUCAUUCUAUAAUUUCCUUGCUGUUUGGUACCCGGUGUGAUAUUGUUUUGUUUAAAAAACAGAAACGCUCAAGGUUACCACAUUUUUCUUAGUUCUACUCAUUGACAUACUCCCACAGAACUCAUGAAAAAUUUAAAAAUAGAAAGCUCAGCCAUCUGGCUAUUUGAUGGUUUCUAUUUUGGUUUCUUUUUGCAUUCACAAACUCUGUUGAGUCUGAAAUUCCCUCUGUUCUGCCCUAUAUAUAAUUGUGUAUAUGUACACACACAGUUUCUCAUUUAAAAUUAGCCAUUAUCAAUCUGGGUUUGUUUUACCGGCCACAGUGGCACUUUUGUGAGGUUGCUAACCUUGUUUCAUCUAUGAAUUAGUCAAAUAUGCAAUAAAUCCUGACUUUGAAGAUUGUUACCCACAGUAUAAGGGAUGCCAAGUCAAAAGCAUUUCUUAUUAAUAUGUACACACCCAUGUUUACUCAGAAGUUUUGUUGCUAGUAAUAUGUUCCUUGCCUUGGCUCUGAUGGAAAAGACGGAACCUACAGGCCAGAGGGAAAUUUAAAGCUCAUCUAAUUCAUGCCUCCAUUUUAUACCUGAGGAAGUUGGGGUCUAGAGAUGGAUAGAGAUUUGUGCAAGGUCAUAAAGCUAAUUAGUAGUUAAAUUACUUUUAGAACCCAGGUCUCUUGAUUUUUUUCUGUGCUCUGUUUUCAUAAAACUGGAUAAGAACUAUUAAAAAUACUUUUGGGAAUGUUCACAAAGGUACAUUUGAAUUACAUUCAUUCUAUUUUUAUAACUUCCAGUAUUUAUAAGAUUGUGUUUAAAGGGAAAAUUAAAGGAUAUUACUAUGGUUUGAUGGCUGAAGGAAAGAUUUUCCCACUCCUCUGUUUGAGCAGAAAGUACAGAGCAUGAAUUUUAUUGCAUAUAUGGUUAAAAAGCCCUCUUCAAGAGAAUGAGAAGACAAGCCGCAGACUGGGAUAAAACAUUUACAAAAAGACAUGUCUGAUAAAGG